GAUGAACGCUGGCGGCGUGCCUAAUACAUGCAAGUCGAGCGAACAGACGAGGAGCUUGCUCCUCUGACGUUAGCGGCGGACGGGUGAGUAACACGUGGAUAACCUACCUAUAAGACUGGGAUAACUUCGGGAAACCGUAGCUAAUACCGGAUAAUAUUUUGAACCGCAUGGUUCAAUAGUGAAAGACGGUUUUGCUGUCACUUAUAGAUGGAUCCGCGCCGCAUUAGCUAGUUGGUAAGGUAACGGCUUACCAAGGCAACGAUGCGUAGCCGACCUGAGAGGGUGAUCGGCCACACUGGAACUGAGACACGGUCCAGACUCCUACGGGAGGCAGCAGUAGGGAAUCUUCCGCAAUGGGCGAAAGCCUGACGGAGCAACGCCGCGUGAGUGAUGAAGGUCUUCGGAUCGUAAAACUCUGUUAUUAGGGAAGAACAAAUGUGUAAGUAACUGUGCACAUCUUGACGGUACCUAAUCAGAAAGCCACGGCUAACUACGUG
rnacentral:rRNA from 1 species